UAGGGAAUCUUCCACAAUGGACGGAAGUCUGAUGGAGCAACGCCGCGUGAGUGAAGAAGGGUUUCGGCUCGUAAAACUCUGUUGUUAAAGAAGAACAUAUCUGAGAGUAACUGUUCAGGUAUUGACGGUAUUUAACCAGAAAGCCACGGCUAACUACGUGCCUG
rnacentral:rRNA from 1 species